rnacentral:rRNA from 1 species
AUUGAACGCUGGCGGCAUGCCUUACACAUGCAAGUCGAACGGCAGCACGGGGGCAACCCUGGUGGCGAGUGGCGAACGGGUGAGUAACAUAUCGGAACGUGCCCUGGAGUGGGGGAUAACUAGUCGAAAGACUAGCUAAUACCGCAUACGAUCUACGGAUGAAAGUGGGGGAUCGCAAGACCUCAUGCUCGUGGAGCGGCCGAUAUCUGAUUAGCUAGUUGGUGGGGUAAAGGCCUACCAAGGCAUCGAUCAGUAGCUGGUCUGAGAGGACGACCAGCCACACUGGGACUGAGACACGGCCCAGACUCCUACGGGAGGCAGCAGUGGGGAAUUUUGGACAAUGGGCGCAAGCCUGAUCCAGCAAUGCCGCGUGAGUGAAGAAGGCCUUCGGGUUGUAAAGCUCUUUUGUCAGGGAAGAAACGGUCCGGGCUAAUACCUUGGGCUAAUGACGGUACCUGAAGAAUAAGCACCGGCUAACUACGUGCCAGCAGCCGCGGUAAUACGUAGGGUGCAAGCGUUAAUCGGAAUUACUGGGCGUAAAGCGUGCGCAGGCGGUUGUGCAAGACCGAUGUGAAAUCCCCGGGCUUAACCUGGGAAUGGCAUUGGUGACUGUACGGCUAGAGUGUGUCAGAGGGGGGUAGAAUUCCACGUGUAGCAGUGAAAUGCGUAGAGAUGUGGAGGAAUACCGAUGGCGAAGGCAGCCCCCUGGGAUGACACUGACGCUCAUGCACGAAAGCGCGGGGAGCAAACAGGAUUAGAUACCCUGGUAGUCCACGCCCUAAACGAUGUCUACUAGUUGUCGGGUCUUCAUUGACUUGGUAACGCAGCUAACGCGUGAAGUAGACCGCCUGGGGAGUACGGUCGCAAGAUUAAAACUCAAAGGAAUUGACGGGGACCCGCACAAGCGGUGGAUGAUGUGGAUUAAUUCGAUGCAACGCGAAAAACCUUACUUACCCUUGACAUGGAUGGAAGCUUUGAGAGAUCAGAGCGUGCUCGAAAGAGAGCCAUCACACAGGUGCUGCAUGGCUGUCGUCAGCUCGUGUCGUGAGAUGUUGGGUUAAGUCCCGCAACGAGCGCAACCCUUGUCAUUAGUUGCUACAUUCAGUUGAGCACUCUAAUGAGACUGCCGGUGACAAACCGGAGGAAGGUGGGGAUGACGUCAAGUCCUCAUGGCCCUUAUGGGUAGGGCUUCACACGUCAUACAAUGGUACAUACAGAGGGCCGCCAACCCGCGAGGGGGAGCUAAUCCCAGAAAGUGUAUCGUAGUCCGGAUUGCAGUCUGCAACUCGACUGCAUGAAGUUGGAAUCGCUAGUAAUCGCGGAUCAGCAUGUCGCGGUGAAUACGUUCCCGGGUCUCUCACCGCCCGUCAAGGGCGAAUU